rnacentral:rRNA from 1 species
AACCGUUAUAACCGGCGAUACCCGAAUGGGGAAACCCAGUGUGAUUCGUCACACUAUCAUUAACUGAAUCCAUAGGUUAAUGAGGCGAACCGGGGGAACUGAAACAUCUAAGUACCCCGAGGAAAAGAAAUCAACCGAGAUUCCCCCAGUAGCGGCGAGCGAACGGGGAGGAGCCCAGAGCCUGAAUCAGCAUGUGUGUUAGUGGAAGCGUCUGGAAAGGCGCGCGAUACAGGGUGACAGCCCCGUACACAAAAGCGCAUGUGCUGUGAGCUCGAUGAGUAGGGCGGGACACGUGGUAUCCUGUCUGAAUAUGGGGGGACCAUCCUCCAAGGCUAAAUACUCCUGACUGACCGAUAGUGAACCAGUACCGUGAGGGAAAGGCGAAAAGAACCCCGGCGAGGGGAGUGAAAAAGAACCUGAAACCGUGUACGUACAAGCAGUGGGAGCACA